rnacentral:rRNA from 1 species
AUUGAACGCUGGCGGCAGGCCUAACACAUGCAAGUCGAGCGAGUGGCGGACGGGUGAGUAAUGUCUGGGACACUGCCUGAUGGAGGGGGAUAACUACUGGACACGGUCGCUAAUACCGCAUACCCUCAGAUGUGCCCAGAUGGGAUUAGCUAGUAGGUGGGGUAACGGCUCACCUAGGCGACGAUCCCUAGCUGGUCUGAGAGGAUGACCAGCCACACUGGAACUGAGACACGGUCCAGACUCCUACGGGAGGCAGCAGUGGGGAAUAUUGCACAAUGGGCGCAAGCCUGAUGCAGCCAUGCCGCGUGUAUGAAGAAGGCCUUCGGGUUGUAAAGUACUUUCAGCGGGGAGGCGUUACCCGCAGAAGAAGCACCGGCUAACUCCGUGCCAGCAGCCGCGGUAAUAC